rnacentral:misc_RNA from 1 species
GGAAAUUGGGGUUUGAGUUUUACGGCCUCCUUGUAGUAUUGAAGUGCUCUGUUAAGGUCACCAGAUUCCAUGAAAAGACCAGCAAGAUUUGACCAUGCAAUAGCAAAUGUAGGCUGUAUACGUAAAGCUUCAAGGUAGCAGCUGUACGCUUCUUGAACCAUCCCUUGUGCUUUCAUGAGGUUCCCGAGGUUGCUAUGAGCAUCAACCAGAAGAGGAUUCAAUGCAAGGGCCUGACGACAACAUUGUGCAGCCUCACCCAGCCGGCCUUUCCGCAUGUAUGCGCUGGCCAAGUUUGACCAUGCAUCACAAAAAUUGGGUCGAAGCUCGAUAGCGAGUAGAUAGUAACGAAUUGCAAGAUC